CACUGCCUCCCCCUCCUCUUGCUUCGAGGACUUUAAAAAAUAAUGCAAUUUCCCCCUCCUCCUCCUGUUCAGCUAAAAACUUGCUGGAAGGACUGAGUGUUACUCGAUUGCAACUUUGUUGCAAGCUGCAGCAGCAGGGAUUUUAGCUGCUAAAUUAGUCUUGAACUUGAAUUUCUAAAGUUAAAAUUAUGAAUAACUUGUAAAAUAUAACAUCAAUC